rnacentral:rRNA from 1 species
UACGUAGGGUGCGAGCGUUGUCCGGAAUUAUUGGGCGUAAAGAGCUCGUAGGCGGUGUGUCACGUCGGCCGUGAAAACCUGCAGCUUAACUGUGGGCGUGCGGUCGAUACGGGCAUCACUGGAGUUCGGCAGGGGAGACUGGAAUUCCUGGUGUAGCGGUGAAAUGCGUAGAUAUCCGGAGGAACACCGGUGGCGAAGGCGGCUUCCUGGACCGACACUGACGCUGAGGCGCGAAAGCUAGGGGAGCAAACGGG